rnacentral:tRNA from 1 species
UCCUCGUUAGUAUAGUGGUCAGUAUCCCCGCCUAUCACGCGGGAGACCCGGGGUUCAAUUCCCCGACAGGGAG